GGGCCCGCACAAGCGGUGGAGCAUGUGGUUUAAUUCGAUGCAACGCGAAGAACCUUACCAUCCCUUGACAUCCAGAGAAUCUUUCAGAGAUGAGAGAGUGCCUUCGGGAACUCUGAGACAGGUGCUGCAUGGCUGUCGUCAGCUCGUGUUGUGAGAUGUUGGGUUAAGUCCCGCAACGAGCGCAACCCUUAUCCUUAGUUGCCAGCACGUAAUGGUGGGAACUCUAGGGAGACUGCCGGUGAUAAACCGGAGGAAGGUGGGGACGACGUCAAGUCAUCAUGGCCCUUACGGGAUGGGCUACACACGUGCUACAAUGGCGCACACAAAGGGCAGCUAACUAGCGAUAGUAUGCGAAUCUCAAAAAGUGCGUCGUAGUCCGGAUCGGAGUCUGCAACUCGACUCCGUGAAGUAGGAAUCGCUAGUAAUCGUGGAUCAGAAUGCCACGGUGAAUACGUUCCCGGGCCUU
rnacentral:rRNA from 1 species